rnacentral:lncRNA from 1 species
AGAAAUCCAAUCUAAGAAAGAAACAUACAAAAUCCAAAACUUAACAGGCAAAUAACAAAUGACCUCUAAAAGAAUCGACAAUACAGGUAUAAUCGAAAAUUACACAAACCAUAAAAAUAUAAGAACAAAAAUACGAAUAUUGAUUUCAUACAUCACCAGAGAAGCAUCUCUUCCAUCAAAAACUUCAAAGUCACCUCUAGACUUUUUCAAACAUCUUCCUCUCUAUUUGAGACAAUAUAUCAAACACGUAGAAUGCAUAAUACUAAAUUUCAUGCCCUAUUCAACUCAUCAUUGUUUCACUGGCAAAGAUCCUACAAAAAAUGUCACAUGUGAGUAUUAAGUUUUACCUGCAGUUGCUUCAUCUCUCUCAACAAAUUUUCUUCUUCUAAGCAAACGUUGGCGAAGAGAAGAUGGUCCAAAUAGCUAAACAACGCCUCCAAAAACUUGAAAAAUACUUACACCUAAGAACAAAAAAGUUAAAUUUCAUGAGUCGACUUUGUUUUAUCUUUAUAGAUAAUUUCAAGAUUAGGGUUUUAGAGUUGUUGAAAACAAAAAAAAAAUAUCCAAAACGUACCUCAUUGAUUCCGGAGCUUCAAUCAUUCAGUCUACAGUCGAUAAUGGAUUUUGAUGUUUGCAUCCUCUGUCGCAAUCGAUCUUCACUCUGGAACCCUCCGCCGUAGCAUCCUCCGUAACCCUAACCUCCCAUCCUUCAUCGCUAACGAAAAAACACAAGCACUGCUAACAUAAAUAUUUUAGAUAUAAAAACAUAAUCAAAUGGUCUGUGAAUAAUAAUUACCUUGUAGCAAGCUGGUAAGGUGCCUGAUUAAAUAGAAAAGGAAUUAGGUCAUCUCGAUCCUUCACAAUUACCUAAAUCAUUUCUAUAGUUAGUAACAAGCGGAGGGAAGAUGGUCAGGCGAGAAGAAGAGAAGAGACUGUGUAUUUUGGGGAUCAAUUCCAUUUACCAGAAAAGCAUGUGAACGGUGAUGGAAGCUUCAAUUGAAGAUGGGAGCAGACGAAGAGGACAAUCAAAAUUCAACAUUUAAGAAAAACCUCUGAAAAUAAAAGAUGAGGCGGUGAAAGAAAGAGAAGAAGGCACGUAUGUUCGUGGUGUUAGA